rnacentral:tRNA from 1 species
AAGGUUUUAAGUUAAAAAAACUGUUAGCCUUCAAAGCUAAAAAUAAAUUCUAAAUUUAAACCUUA